AACGAUCAAUACAUAUCUUUAUAAACUUCCUGUGUGGUAAGGAGCACAACAGAUGAGCAGGAAAUCACUGAAUGAAUAAAGUAGUCACCAGUUGUGAUAAGCUUGGUGGCAGUAAGUAUGGUGAUGGGGAGGGUGUAACUGGGUGAAUGUGGUUAUGGACUGAAUGUGUUCCCCCCAAAAUUAAUAUGUGGAAACCCUACCUUCUAAUGUUGGUAUUUGAAGAUGGGGCUUUGAGGAGAAAAUUAGGUUUAGAUGGGGUUUUGAGAAGGAAAUUAGGUUUAGAUGAGAUCAUGAGAAUGGGAUUAGAAGAACAGGAAAAGACUGGAGUUUACUUGCUCUCUCUCCUCUACAUGAGGACAUAGCAAGAAGAUAGAAGACAGCCGUCUGAGAUCCAGGAAGAGAGCCCUCACCAGGAACCAAAUCAGCCACCACCUUAUCUUGAUGUCCCAGCCUCCAGGCACAGAGCAGGGAGUCUAAAGGGCAAUACUAAUGAUGAUCUCAUGCGAUCCCCAAAUGGAAUACACAGGCAGAAAGCAUAUGAGGAGAAGCAUGAACCAAGACACAAAGCUAAUGGAGUCUGGAACUGGGGAGUUGAAGCCCAAAAAAUACAGAAGGACCAUGAAUUCUUUAAGCCAUAAAGAACAAGCUACAUACAUUUUGUUGUGGUUCCUGCUGUAGUGGGCAGACAGGUUGUGAUUCCUUAUCUCGUGUUAUGUGAAUCCCAGUAUGCCAGUCAAGGCUCAGUCAGAGAAGUGGAAUCUCCAUGGUGUGGAUGCCCUACAGGGUCUUGGGUUCCUUAUUAUUUAAAAAUGCACCUGGCCCAAGAGCCAGAGAAGGUGAAGGAGGAUCCAGGGGAAGGUAGAGCAGGUUCAGGACCAGCUGCCCCAUUCCCACAGGUGAGUCAGCAGAUGAGCAACUGUGGCUGACCUCCAGGAUGACUGCCGCUGUCUUUCUGCCUCCAGGUCUACCCGUAGCCCAUCCUGACUGGAAGCUUAGAAAAAAGGGAGUUCUAGAAAGUGUGGUUCAACAUAGCCAAGUUAACAAAGGCACCAAACGUAACAGCAUUGAUAACGGACUUUAAAAGGAUGAUCCUGGAUGUUCUAAGGUUUGGUUGCUCAUAUUGGAGCUGGAUAAUGAUGCAUUGAAAAGAUGUUGGAUUUUCUGCAGUUGUCUCAUGAACACAUUAUUUGUUAAUUUUGUGGCCCUCUGUCACUCUAUUAAAUGACAACUCAAAUCUUGGGCUUCAACUGUAAAAGCCUCUAUUAAUGCAUUCAAGCUGUGGAGAAGCAAGAGCAAGGUCAAGUGUGACAGAGCCCUUCCCCCUGUAAGGGAAGUGUUGACAACCUGCUGGCCCUUUCUCAGAGGUGAGCCAGUGUUCUAAACACAGUGGGAUAGCAAUAUCUGAGUCCAAUCUUAUCAUGAGGCUUUGCUUUACUAGAUGUACCCUGAGGAUGACGUUAUUGAUUGAGGAUAGACAAGUAGAUGGAUGGAUGAAUUCAUACUUAGUGACAUAUGUAGCUAACAGUGUCCGUAAUAUAAAAGCAAAAUAAUUGCUCAAAAUUAUGACUAUUCUUAGUGUUGAGUUUUUCCUGUGUAUUGUUACACAAAGAAGCACAUGUGAUCAAAUAAAAGUGUCCUCAGCCACGUUCUGACAGUACUCACCAUA